rnacentral:lncRNA from 1 species
GGUCGACUUGGCUCGUUCUCCGCAUUACGCGAUUAAUUAACGUACCUGAAUGAAAUGCAUUAUGCAUAUGAAUGCAUAUAGAUAGGAAUAUCAUAAACCAUAGCGAGCCGUUUACAUGCGCUCUAUCUCUCUUGACUAGAGCACAAUAUCUAAACUUAGACUAGAAAUAGAAAUCAUUCCAUUAACUUCUAGAAUUAGUAUUCUCAAUUAUUAUGCAGCAUAGGUCCCACUAAAUUAAAUAUUUCAUUUAUCCUGCAUUAUAGACCUAAGGUGCACCAUAUUACGCAUUUAUUUCACACGAUUACAUUACCGGAGGGGCUGAGGUAUUUUAGCAAACAUCUAACACGAACACGACGCAUCUGCUAAACACGGGAAUUAUUUAGACUAGCAAGUCAAAUUAAUCCAAUUCGAUUAGCCAAAAUAAUAAAUUGGCUUACCAAGACCGAAUGGAUUCGAUAUCCGCGAGGGCGAUGACGAUUUUCCACUUUAGACAUUUGGUCGAGCCCCAAGAGAGCGCUUAUAGGCCUCGCUUCUCUCGAACAUUAGGAAUUUCUCAUCCAAAGUAAGUCCGACUCAAAGCUUGCGAGAGCGUCGAUAGUCUCUGAAUAAAAUCUUCGAUCGAACACCUGGCGAGCAUUGAACUGAGCUUCACUCUCUCUUCCAUCCACAAUUCUUGGAAUCUCUCCACAUUAACUAGAACUCCGCAUAACUGGCGACGAUUCUUGUUCUGUCUUUCGCCGAGUACUUGGGGUAUCGACUAGGGGAUUGCUUCUCCACAUCUUCUUGGGAUGCUUUUGUCACCGCGAACACCAGUCGGAGACAACACGUAGGGACUGGCAGCAAGACGAGACGAUGAAAUAACGACGAACUAGCAAGCUGAGCCACGACGAACGAUGUCGACAACAAGACCAGGGCGACACAGAUCCGGGACUGUUGCACGCACGACACGACGACAAACGACAACAAUCGGCGAGGUCGACGACGCGAUGGGGAUUAAAGCCAAGCGAGCCGAGAGGACGCGCUGGCGAGCAGGAAACCACGCGAGCACAGGACAGGGAAAAUGACGAUACUGUCGCGCACAGUGCGAAGACGAACGACGCGUCGACGAGGACCUAGAAUGUGCGACACACGACACGCAGUUAGCCUAUCACGCAGGGAGUAGGAAACAACCGCGUGGCCAACAGAGGAGCCAGGGUAGAGAUGGCAAUGGGUACCCGAAACCCGAAUACCCGACGGGUUUUACCCGAUAUGAAGGCGGGUACGGGAUGAUUUCUCUACCCGCGGAUAUGUUAAUGGGUAAAAACCUCUACCCGUUGGGUAGACGGGUACGGGUGCGGGUUGGAACUACCCAUACCCGUCUACCCAUGGGUAAAAUAUGCCCGCAUCAAUACAACUAUAACCAUCUAAUAGAGCCGAUCUUAGCUAAAAUAAAACUCUUCUAUAGCUAUCAUUUGUUUAGAUACCAAGUUAUGUAAUCAUAUGAUUUGUUAUAUGUGAAGUUGAAGUUGUUUUUAUAUGUUUAUUAAUAUUUUGAGUGAUUGAUAUAUUGGAGUUUAAGACUUUCCUAGUGGGUACGGGUUACCCGACGAGUAAAAAUACCCGCGCGGGUACGGGUAUGUGUAAGAUUUUAUACCCGCGAGUAUAUAUGGGUAACCCGACAGGUAGAAUUUUUUUUAAUGGGUACGUGUAUGAAAUGGUACUACCCGACGGGUAUGUACCCAACUACCCAUUGCCAUCCCUAAGCCAGGGGCGCGGCACAGUGAGAACCGAGCAGGGGAAACGGGGGGAGAGAGAGAAGGAGAUCCGGUGUCCUGAAAAAAUACCGCGUGCACGGAACUUCGGCUAGGGGCACGCAGCAAUCCAGGGAGCCGGCCAAAGGGAUGGAAGCCGCGGCGCAGAAAGGAAAGCGCGACACAGGGAGAUCUGACCGGAGCUGGAGCAAGGGGAAGGAGACGCGCGAGCGCGAGCACCAUGGGAGCAGAGAGCUCGGCCAGGAGAGAGGAAACAAAGGCUAGCUGACCGAGCGUCGUCUUCUGCGGCGAACAGCAGGGAGAACGACGGCGCCACCAUAGGAGCACGAGCAGCAGCAGGGAGUAGAGGUGGCCGGCGCCAGGGCUCACGGCCAGGAGGACCGCUCCUUGGAGCCGAGCAGCAAGCCGAGAGGGAGGGGCUGGGAUGUUGGAGAGGAGAGCUUGGGCACGUGGGGGAUGAACGCCGGCUGGGAACUUGGAGGAAGGAGCACGACUGGAUACUUGAAGACCCCAGGGGCGGCUGGGCGGCGCGCGGAUGACGACGGCGGAAUCUUCACCGGCGGUGAGCGGCGUGAUAAGGCCAGACGGCUAAUGACGGUGGAAAAAAAAUCAGGGCAGCGGCUAGAUCUUUUUCCAUUUUUUUCUUCUUUCUUUCCUUUUUUGAUAACGGAAAUCGCAGAUCUUUCUGGAUCGAGAUUUUUAGCGAUGUGGACGGACCGACAUGCCACACGAAUACAUAUGACAUGCUUCGAAUUUAGCGAACCAAUCUAAUCGCUAAUUACCUAUAUCCAAAGAUUCGAAUCCGGGCAAGAAACGAUAACCCGAACAAGACUGAUUUCACCUUCGGUAAUAUGCUCGGUGGAAUUCGACUAAAAUUAGCCGGAACCAAAUUCGCUAUUGUAUACGCGAUUUCGUCGUCAAAACAACGUGCGAACGGAGAAAUUGGAUCCUAACCUCGCGCACGAUUUCACGCAGACAACGCACGAUUCAGAUUAUUUUGCACCGAGUAUUUUAGCCGUCAAGUUCAAAUUAAUCUGUCCGGAAUAAAAAGGCGUAAAAGGAGGUCGAGCUUCUGAAUUUGGAUUCGCGCGGCGAUGAAUUUUAAAUAAUCACCGGACGCACCGAUUUUCGGAACAGCUAUGUUCCGAACAUCACGAAAAUUUCGGAAGAGCCUGGAUAAAUGAAAAUAAAAAAUGAUGUCGCACUUGUGACAAACAAGACAAAUGCGAUAUUAACAUCGCGAUAGGCGAAGAUGUUUAAAAUUCAGCAUCCAUUUUAUCCACUGAUCACGUGCUUAAAUCCGUACUCGUUGUCGAGCGGAAUAUAAACACCUGGGGUGUUACAACCCUCCCCCUUAAAAGAAUCUCGUCCCGAGAUUCGGAACGAAAGACUUCUAAGAGUAGAGCAGCAUGUAACCCAUGUCUAUAUCAGCGAUAACCGUGAGACAUUUCCAAUUAAAGGCGAGUGUCUCAGGAUGUCGUUUCUCUAGUGGACAUAACAUGUAUCGCCUUGGGCUAAUUUAGAGAUGUCCAACAAUAGAGACGAUAUCUGCCAGAGGAACACCUAAGAUUCCAUGUGAGCAGUUUGCUUUUUCUGAUGACACUGUACUAUCUGAGUCUGUUGAGCGAGCGGUGGAUAUGCGACUUUACCCCAAACAGAAUCAGAUGCAUCAUCUUGGGUAAAACACAUCGAAAGAGGUUUACCAACAAGUGGUCACGGUAAGUUCAUAGCACACGAGACGGGUGUGAAUGUUGAAUAUCAUCCCAGUCAACGCGUGUUAGCCAGAGAAUCUAAACCAAUGGAAGGUGAUAUAGACUCGAAAAAAUCAUCAGCGAAGGGAUCUAUAGAUGCGAACUUUGCAACCAGUCCGUUCUAUCUAGCACUAAUCAUGGCUUGACCUGAUCACUCAUGCUAGAAAAGCACACGUGAGGCGAUUGAGGCACGACUAGAGCGAUGAUUAUGUGGUUAUCAGUCGUCUUAACUUAAUUCUUGCAGGUACUUCCUUAGGAUGGAUUGAACCAAAGUGAGUUUAGACAACUCGACAAAAUGAUCUCUAAACUCAACCUUUGUUCAUUGGACAGUUGCAAGUUAGUAAAACCAACUUGUUGAAGUACUCAUGACAUUGAGUAGGUCCUCUCAGUACCAUCGGUAAGCCAAGGGUUGAUAGUUCUCUCUUGUUAACAGUUGAUCAUGCACUUGGGCAGAAAUCCAUUUGGUCAGGUUGUUCAUCCAUUUCUUCCAUGCGAGAGGAACUGGCUUGUUUCGGGAAUGCAUGUAUUAAAUAAGAGAGCAAAUGGACAAACUCCUGCAUCCCAGCAGUAGGGAAAACCAAUCUCCAUUUUGAGAGCUAAUCAGUUGUUUUCCAACACUAAAAAGCUUCAAGGCUUCACUUUUACAAAAAAGGAUGCAAAGGGGACGUGUAUGUGUGAAGUCACCAUCAAAGUCAAGGAAAAGAGACCACACAUGGGAAGUGGUAUGCCCGUUUGAUCCAACAGAGAUGAUAGAUGUUGCUUGAUCACUCGACAAACAACAUAGAAAUUGUUUCAAGGAAAGUGUCCACGGAAGAUCACACAUCAGUGUAGUUCCAUAAUGGAUCAUGACCAGAGACCUCGGUACCGGCAUGCGCCAAGCAGCAAAAUCCUGUGUGCGCAUGCACAGGAGGCUCUCAGUUUCGCCGCGGUACCGUAAGUCCUUAAUCAUGACACCAUCACCGAACAUCACCAAUAAUGGAUCUCACGUGGUAAAACUAGAUUGUGCCAAGAUAACACAUUGAUAUAGUCUCAUAAUGGAUUACAACUACUAACUGUGAUACCAGCGCGUGCCGAGCAGCACGACCAUGUGUGUACAUUCACAGGAGGCCCUCGGUUUCGUCACGGCACCAUCGGUUUUAGUCAUAACACCAUUACCAGACGUAACCAAUAAGAAAUCUCGCGCGGCACCAAUGGAUUAGGCAAGAGUGACAAUAUACAAAGAGAUACUCCACUUGUUAAGAACAGUUACAAGUAGAGAACCAAAUAGAUUAUGGCCCGAUGAAAUGAACAAGGUAUGGCCAUAACCUAAGCUUGUUGAUGAAUGAGUACGAUGGGAGACUGUUAAUUCAGCCCCAAGCAUAUUUCUAUGCCCAUCGCAACAAUUACAAGUCAAGAAUUGGUAUCUGAUUAGAUACGGAGGAAAAACAAUCACAAGAUUAAGUUGGUAUGCCUUCGAUAGAUAUGAGAAAAAUCAAAGGCACCAAAUUCAAGAAAACGACUGAAUAUGUCUUUCCUAGACUGGGUUGGUAAAGCAACAAUGUGAUCCUCCAGAAGAGGCAAAUUGGAAUAGAAACAUCAGCUUGCACCAACCAAACAAGGGAAUGGUUUUGGAAUGAGACAUGACUCGAGAUUCUUGUUUUAAGCCCGGGUACACUUUAUGUCCAACGAAGAAGUUAUCUAAGCAUUUAUUUGUAUAAGUUUGGGUCAUGGAGGGAUAAUAGUAAAUUUAAAUUUGGGUCUAGGUUUACCAAAUUAGAACAUGGCUUAAUUUUGGGUUUAGGCAAUCAAAUCACUAACCUUCUAUCGGCACAUCAACACAAGAGCACACAUAAAGCACCCUAAGAGGUCACCUAAAGAAUGGAGAACACCUAUUUCAUCGGAGUUCAUAAUUCAGCAUUACACCAUAUUAUCUACAAUCAAUGGUUACUAGAAUAAGGAUGAGAGAAGCAUUUUGGGUGUAUAGGUGAUAAACAUGAUGCAACAAUCAGGAUGCAUGCUCGUCCUAUACGUCCUCACAAGUUUUUUUGCCAACAUAAUGUGGCAAUAAUGUUCUAUAUCGGUGGCAUACUUACGACUCUCACGGUAUUUUGCUAGUCGUCAGCUACACAUACGUUUUGAGGUUAGGGUCUGUUUGGUUGGGCUGUGGCUGUGAAAAAAGCUGCUGUGGGCUGUAAGCUGUGGGAAAAGCUGCUGUGGGCUGUGAGCUGUUAAAAAGCUAAAAACCGUUUGGUCGAAAUCACUAAAAAUCGUUAAAAGUUAUUCGAUAUACGUUUUCACAGUUCCAUCUAAAAGUCACUAAAAACAGGUCCAGAGAUGCUUUUAAUUUUGCACUACGAGAAAGUCGGCUUUUAGAAAAAGCUGAUUCCUUGAUUCAACACUUUGGUUUGGCUUUUGGCUUUUAGAGGACAAAAGCCAAAGUCAAAAGUCAAACCAAACACACCCUUAGUGUACCUGCAGAAAAAUCCAUCACAACCCAAUUCCCAAUGAUGCAAGUCACGCAUGACAGUUUAUCACAGUUUAUACUCCAUAUAUUGCUAUAUGGAGGCCAGCUCAUCAUUAAGCGCCGAGCCACGCAUAGGCGCUGUUGCCACACUUUAACCAUAGGGCAACUCAUUAUGGUAACUCACCUUCUUACCUGAGCGUAUGUGCGUCGUUACAAGUACAUUACACUUCUCAGUAGUCCCAUGUCUGUAUACCCAUACACAUCCAUGUGGUACUGAAUUCCCGGAAAAGUAAAUACUCCACAUCGCAGCCUUCAUAUAUACAUAUGUGGAACAUGUAUAUAAUCAAGCGCUUUUUAUGCUCUUCCCUAGACCGAUGUUUGUUCGGUCAUGCUCUCACAUCUCACCUUACCUUGAGCGUCGAUCCAUUCAAGACUGAAUGGCCUUAAAAAUAACAAUACACAUGUAUGCAAUACCCCCGGUUGUGGGUUAGUGGUUUUGAACUAAGUCACCUGAUAGUCCUUAAUUUAGAGCUUAACAGAGGAUGUUGCUAGCAUUAUAGUUUUUCAAAACUGUUUUUCAAAGCCAAACAAUGUGUUUAGUUUGAAAAUAGGUUUUUCAAAACCAAAACUUUUGUUUUGAAAAUACGUAUGUGACCGUAUAUACUUGAUCCUGCUUCGAUACCAGCUGUGGCAGAACCUCCCAAGUUAUUGGACCCACAUGCACCUGUCCUUGUCUCAAAGACCUCAGACGACCAUGCAUGUGCACCAGAUAACUUAACAGGAUCCGUCCGAUUGCCCCAAGGACAUCGAAUAAACCACUUACAACCAAGAUCGCGAGAUUAAGUAAUACAAAUCACACACACCAAUAUUUUUGCAGCGGAAAUCUUAUUACCAAAUUUUACAAGUUACAAAAAUUUUACUUUGUACAUGAUCGGAGUGAUUACAAAAGUGAUUCAAAGAAAUAACUUUGAACUGUUAUAAAUUAUUUAUAAUUUUGAAAUAUAUGCUAGCUCAAGUGACCAUCCUCAAUAAGAAGUAUAGAAGAGUUACUUAGACUUAUAAGAAGGCCGAGCCCACCGGCACUUAACACCAUUAUCAGCAGCACAAAACUAUAACCUAAAAAACAACAGGGAAUAAAACCCUGAGUAUGGAAUUACUCAGCAAGACUUACCCGACUAAAGAAAAGACUCUCAAGGAUAUGCUGGAUUUGGGAAUCAAGGAGAGGCUUUAGCAAGAAUCAACUUAGAUACUUUUGCAGAAAUAGCUUACUAAAGUGAGUCCUUACUUUCAAUAUUUUAACGCCAGAUUAAAUAUUAAUAGACUCUAUUUGCAUCUGGUCUAAUUUCACCAUCUCAUCAAUACAACAUCAUUUUUAUUCAUGAGGUUCACAUCCUGACUUAGGUUGUAGGGCAGUGACCAAGUCUUUAUAACUGCGAAGGUACGGCGUUCCGAAUCGAUUAUACUCAGCUGAGGAUCUCCGAUCACACGACAUAUGUAGCAUUUAACCCUUGCAUAUGUCAACCCGCCACCGGGGUUCUUAAGACCAGAUCAGGUUCACGCCAACCGAGAGCACAGAUACACUACCGUCCAACCUCUUGCCAUGGAGGGUACACGCUACUCUCGCCAUCUCUCCACUCCCAUUGCGUGGUAUCUUAUUCUGGUAUUAGUCUGCCCGAGGCAAAGCUUACCCAUGACGAGGCAUGUGACCAGUUAAAGGGUCCUCGAUCAUCAAGCCUACAUACGCAUCCAAUCCUUAAUCAACCUGGGUAGAACAUCACCUGUUCCUAGCCCAAGUUCCGAUUUAAGUACUUUCAUCCUUAGGAUUGUUUGUUUCCUUAGGACAAAAAGAGCAUUUUAGGGAACUUUGCAGUAAGAUCCCACCACGCUCUCAAUGAAAAUAUUCUUGCAGGUAGAAGCUAUCUUUCCUCAGGAUAACCCCUGAGCAAGGCCUUAACGCAAAAGACAACCUCUAUCCACAUGAUCUGAGCAGGGCUAAGUAUUUUUGUAAAUCAUAUUUUGAUACUUCACGAGAAGUAUCUAUAAAGGUAUGGAUUUCAAGGAAGGCAAUGCAUCCAAGGGUUUGUAAGCAACUACUAUAAACCUAAUGCACAUUCACUAGACUUAAAGUGUGUAAAAAUAAUUUAAAAACACAAGGAAGGGGUUGCAUGCACCGGGGCUUGCCUGAAUAACACUAGGUUAGUGUUGUUAGAUGAUGUCCACUUGACGAUCAUCCUUUGUCUUGGCACUUGUUCAGGCAGGUUCGUCCAUCAGCAUCACCAUGCGGAGUAGCCCGCGCUUGGGGUCGACUUGGCUCGUUCUCCACAUUACGCGAUUAAUUAACGUACCUGAAUGAAAUGCAUUAUGCAAAUGAAUGCAUAUAGAUAGGAAUAUCAUAAACCAUAGCGAGCCGUUUACAGGCGCUCUAUCUCUCUUGACUAGAGCACAAUAUCUAAACUUAGACUAGAAAUAGAAAUCAUUCCAUUAACUUCUAGAAUUAGUAUUCUCAAUUAUUAUGCAACAUAGGUCCCACUAAAUUAAAUAUUUCAUUUAUCCUGCAUUAUAGACUAAGGUGCACCAUAUUACGCAUUUAUUUCACACGAUUAUAUUACCGGAGGGGCUGAGGUAUUUUAGCAAACAUCUAACAUGAACACGACGCAUCUGCUAAACACGGG